ensembl:snRNA U6 U6 spliceosomal RNA
GCUUGCCUUGGCAGCGUGUACUAAAAUUGGAACGAUGCCGAGGUUAGCAUGGGCCCUGUGCAAGGAUGACAUGCACAUUCACAAAGCAUUCCAUGUUUAU